rnacentral:rRNA from 1 species
CCUACGGGGGGCUGCAGUGAGGAAUAUUGGUCAAUGGACGAGAGUCUGAACCAGCCAAGUAGCGUGAAGGAUGACUGCCCUAUGGGUUGUAAACUUCUUUUAUAUGGGAAUAAAAUGUUCCACGUGUGGGAUUUUGUAUGUACCAUAUGACUAAGGAUCGGCUAACUCCGUGCCAGCAGCCGCGGUAAUACGGAGGAUCCGAGCGUUAUCCGGAUUUAUUGGGUUUAAAGGGAGCGUAGGUGGAUUGUUAAGUCAGUUGUGAAAGUUUGCGGCUCAACCGUAAAAUUGCAGUUGAAACUGGCAGUCUUGAGUACAGUAGAGGUGGGCGGAAUUCGUGGUGUAGCGGUGAAAUGCUUAGAUAUCACGAAGAACUCCGAUUGCGAAGGCAGUUCACUGGACUGCAACUGACACUGAGGCUCGAAAGUGUGGGUAUCAAACAGGAUUAGAUACCCGAGUAGUC